rnacentral:tRNA from 1 species
GGUAGCAUGGGCACAUGGUCUAAGAGUCUGAAUUAAGGCUCCGGUUUCUUUGGGAGCAUGGUUUUAAAUCCCACUGC